GACGAACGCUGGCGGCGUGCCUAAUACAUGCAAGUAGAACGCACAGUUUAUACCGUAGCUUGCUACACCAUAAACUGUGAGUUGCGAACGGGUGAGUAACGCGUAGAUAACCUGCCUGGUAGCGGGGGAUAACUAUUGGAAACGAUAGCUAAUACCGCAUAAUAUUGAUUAUUGCAUGAUACUUGAUUGAAAGAUGCUAUUGCAUCACUACCAGAUGGACCUGCGUUGUAUUAGCUAGUAGGUGAGGUAACGGCUCACCUAGGCGACGAUACAUAGCAGACCUGAGAGGGUGAUAGGCCACACUGGGAUGGGGACACGGCCCAGACCCCUACGGGAGGCAGCAGUAGGGAAUCUUCGGCAAUGGACGAAAGUCUGACCGAGCAACGCCGCGUGAGUGAAGAAGGUUUUCGGAUCGUAAAGCUCUGUUGUAAGAGAAGAACGGGUGGGAGAGUGGAAAGUUCACACAGUGACGGUAUCUUACCAGAAAGGGACGGCUAACUACGUG
rnacentral:rRNA from 1 species